AUUGAACGCUGGCGGCAGGCCUAACACAUGCAAGUCGAACGAGUGGCGGACGGGUGAGUAAUGUCUGGGAAACUGCCCGAUGGAGGGGGAUAACUACUGGAAACGGUAGCUAAUACCGCAUACCAUCGGAUGUGCCCAGAUGGGAUUAGCUUGUAGGUGAGGUAACGGCUCACCUAGGCGACGAUCCCUAGCUGGUCUGAGAGGAUGACCAGCCAUACUGGAUCUGAGACACGGGCCAGACUCCGACGGGAGUCAGCAGUGGGUAAUAUUGUACAAUGGGCGCAAGCCUGAUGCAGCCAUGCCGCGGGGAUGCAGACGGCCUUCGGUUUGUAAAGUACUUUCCGCGGGGAGGCGUUACCCGUAGAAGAAGCACCGGCUAACUCCGUGCUAGCAGCCGCGGUAAUAC
rnacentral:rRNA from 1 species